UCCUACGGGGGGCAGCAGAGAGGAAUAUUGGUCAAUGGGCGGGAGCCUGAACCAACCAAGUCGCGCGAGGGAAGACGGUCCUUUGGAUUGUAAACCUCUUUAGGCGGGGAGCAAUGCCGGGCACGCGUGCCCGGAGGGAGAGUACCCGCAGCAUAAGCAUCGGCUAACUCCGUGCCAGCAGCCGCGGUAAUACGGAGGAUGCGAGCGUUAUCCGGAUUUAUUGGGUUUCAGCGUGCGUAGGCGGAUUUUUAAGUCAGCGGCACAAUGCCCG
rnacentral:rRNA from 1 species